ACGAACGCUGGCGGCGUGCUUCACACAUGCAAGUCGAACGGUGAAGCUCCAGCUUGCUGGAGUGGAUCAGUGGCGAACGGGUGAGUAACACGUGAGCAACCUGCCCCAGACUCUGGAAUAAGCGCUGGAAACGGCGUCUAAUACUGGAUACGAGAUCAAGCCGCAUGGUUAUGGUCUGGAAAGUUUUUCGGUUUGGGAUGGGCUCGCGGCCUAUCAGCUUGUUGGUGGGGUAAUGGCUCACCAAGGCGACGACGGGUAGCCGGCCUGAGAGGGCGACCGGCCACACUGGGACUGGGACACGGCCCAGACUCCUACGGGAGGCAGCAGUGGGGAAUAUUGCACAAUGGGCGAAGGCCUGAUGCAGCGACGCCGCGUGAGGGAUGACGGCCUUCGGGUUGUAAACCUCUUUCAGCAGGGAAGAAGCGAAAGUGACGGUACCUGCAGAAGAAGCACCGGCUAACUACGUG
rnacentral:rRNA from 1 species